rnacentral:rRNA from 12 species
GUUGACAUCCACACCGUCCUGUGAGUCCGUGAUCCUGUCAGCUCUCAGGAGCUAAGCAGGGCUGGGCCUGGUUAGUACUUGGGUGGGAGACACCUUUGGAAGACCAGGGCCCACU